CCAUGUUCGCCCGAGCGGCGGCCGCGAGGGACGCGGGCCCGGGACGUUUAAAGGGCAAAUUAAAGUUAUCUGGUGCCUGCUGGGAACCGCGGUGUCAGAGCAUGUGCCCGCUGUAUUUAUAGCUCCCGGGAGGCACCGGAGGGAACGUGGGGAGCUGGCAGGAGCGGUUCAGGCCGUACUAAGCGUUCCGUGCGGGCGAGAGGCAGCGGCUGAGAGCUGAAAGCCUCCCCGGAGCGGUCUGACAGUGCGACCGGCCAGAUGAGAGUGUAUUAAGCCUUGCCCUCAUGUGCGGGGGAUCACGCAGAGAGGGGCGACACGGAUGUCGUGCCCAACAACAAAGCUCCCCAGGGAUGCACUGCCAGCCUGGAAGGUGGUGCUGUGUUCAUAGGCAUCAGUGACCAGGACUGGACCUCUCUUGAGUCAAGGCCAGAGAGCUGCUUCAUGCUGUACGCACCGUGUGGAACUUGCAGGCAUUGAGGUCUUUAAAUACCCCAGCAUGCUCUGGGACUCGGCUUUCCCGAGGAGGAGACAACAUGCCUUUCUGCAUUGUACCCUCAUUUCACCCCUGCAAGGUCUGGUGUCUCUUCAUGGGAAAGCAAACACCCCUUUAACACUCCCAGGCUUCUGCUGCUGGUUUCACACAGACCCCCCGGAUAGUGAUGCUCACAGCUGCUGCCUGACUACCCAGAUUGACAAGGUGUGCACUCAGGUGUCAGCUUGUCUGACUGGUGUAUGACUCAUUUGGAAGACUCAUCUUUGGAAGAUCCUCAGACUGCAUUUUGGAGAAAAACCAAAGAAAAGUGAAGUGACUUUCUCAAGCUCAUUGCCAGAGAUAUGCUUCUCAUGGUGUUCACCCGAUCUCUUGGAAGGUGUGACAGCUGUGAACAGUAUCAGCAAUGCCUGGGCAGGUGUGUGAUUAGAACAAAGCCAAGCUAUGGCUGAAGCCUUCUUUAUGUUCUGUAAGACACAAUCUUCUCUUGCUGCUAGUGAGUAACACAUCUUAGCAGUAACAUUUCAAAUGUGUUUUAUGUCCUGAUCAGGAAAUACAGUUCUUCACUGAGUUCUUCUGCUUACCUAGUGGGGUUUUUAAAAAUGUUUGUUUGUUUCGCAAACUGGAGAAAUGCUGGGUUGUGUGAACGCAGAAUUCAGAUGCACCUGCUGAAGUUCCAUGACCUAGAAAAUAGGUCUGAUUUCUUUUCAGAGCUUGGCAAAACAAAGCUAUUAAAAAGUGAAAGUAUUAAUAUAGACUCAUCUGACCCGAAAUUUACAAUAUGCUCUUCUUCAGAAAAUCUGGGUUGGAAGAAUGUCUAGUAUGACAUUCUUCCCAGCUCUCUUUGCGUAGUGCAACAUUCUUUACAUCAUUCAUGCAAUAUCCUGUGUGAUGACUCUCAUGUUCAGCUUUCCAUAGCUCUGGUGACUCUUGCAUAAUUUUUAAUUGCCUGCCUCUUCUUAGAGUUGUAUGGACUUAUUCUUUUUUAUUAGGUCCACAUAAAACAGUAAUUACCAUUUUAAAUCAUAGAUAGAACAUUGGUACAAGUCAGAGUAUAUGAGGAAAUCUCAUGUAGCGUUUUAAGUAGGGUUUUAUUUUCUAUUUUGCUCAAGCUUACUUUUCUAAAUAUUGUGUUAGUAUAAAUCUUAAUGGGAUAAUGCAAAUCUUUGCUCUAUUCAAUUCAAAUUGGUCUUUGCUCUUUUUGAUACAUCUUUUUAUCAUCAUUCAUGUUGCAGUAAUUUUGGAGUAUCAAAAAUUAUUGAAGUUGAUUUUUUUUAUGUUAUGUUUGUUUUGUUUAUCUUUUGAUUUCUAUUUUCUAAGUUGUUUCUGUGUGUGAUUUUACUGUUCUAGGUAUUUUUAAAAUUCAUUGUUUCAGGCAAACAGAUUUAAAUUGUUAAAUUAUUUAAGUGAUUUGUUUUCCAUCUGCUGCUUCUGACAAUACAUCUGGUUAUAAUAUAAUAACUUUCUUUUAUUAAAAAAGUGUCAAUAUUGUUAGCCCUUGCUCAAGUUGUUACCUCUUCGUUUUCAGAUAUUUUGUAGAGUUUCUCAUGCUGUGAUUUUACUCGACUAGUCUUUCUUCUGUGAAAUAGUUCGUAAUAAUCCAUAAUUUUCUUGCUGACAGUAAUUUUUUUUCAUAUGUUGUAGGACAUUAUUUUUGACAGUAGUAUAUAUUUAAUGGAAUCACAGCUUUGUGCACAGUCAGAUAACUGCAUUGCAAUAGCAAAACAAGGUAAUAAUAUUUUUAUAAUACAGAAACAAUUUCAUGCAUUAAAUGUAGAUGUAAUUUUUAUGCAUACUUUUACUAGCUGUUAGCACAACAGUUUUAAUAGAAUUUCAAGCUUUUUUUUGAGUAAGUAAGAAAUGAAUAAAUUGUAUUACUUAGUGAAGGAACUUCAAUUUUUGGUCACCCUGCAUGCUGGUUGAAUAGGCCACAAUUACAUUGAUGUUAUAAUUUACAUUGUAUUGAUUACAAUGCCAGAAAUGCUUUUUUUAUAAAUUGAAAUAUUAAUCUGUCUAUAUUUUGCAAGAAAAUGGCAAAUUAAGGUCAGUUCCAUACCACACAUUAUUAAAAUGCAUGAAGGAAAAAAAAGGUCUGCUGGAAAGCCAAAAUCCCAGAAAGUGGAAUGCUGAUAUUGAAGAUGACAACUGCCCAGCUAAAGAGUGAGAAAACUGGGUGAGAAAGUCUUUAGAUGCCAGAGUUUAUGGUUUUUAUGGCAUCAAAACUCAUGUCCCUUCAUAGGGUAUUUCAGUGCUUCAGAACUCACUGUGGAAAAAAUCCAGUUUGAGUCCCAGGUCCAAAAAUUACUUUGAAUUUGAAUUGUCCCUGCUGAGCUGAUAUACUGGAUAUGAAAGGGAACAAAUUAUAGGGACAGAAGCAGAAGUCAGGAAACAAUUAGGUUACAUGGUAUAUUACCUCAGCUUGAUGAAAAAAAACAAUCUGUAUUUCGUUCAUUCCUGGAGAAUGACUGCCAGUUUCUGAUUCACUGGGAAUUCAGUUUAAUACUUUCAUAUAUAUCUUAAGAAAUAAAUGAGAUAAUGUAUUAACAUACAUUCUUAAAUGUUGCUGUAUUAUUUGAAAUUGACAUGUAAGUAUGUUCAGUUAUAUUACAGGUAGGUAUGAAUGAAUAAAUGCUGUGAAAGUGGCUUGCAGGUCAACACUGUAAAAGGAAUUGCCCUAUUUCUCCAUUUAAUUUCUUUUCCUUUGUAGUAAUAUACAGUAAUGGAAGAAGUUGAGACUGAGCUAUUUUAUAUUUUCCAGACAGCUAUAAAGGGAUAAAAGGCAGGAGAUAUUCUGAGUAUAGAUAGUGAGAAAAAUUGAGAUGUUAGGAACAAUGGUGCAGACAUGAAACCAUCUUGAAACAGUCAGCCAGGGAUAAAUUAUCUGGACCUCGUAAGUUGCUUCCAGGAUCAUAGUGAUGGGGUGGGGUGGGUCACCCAGAAGCUGUGUGAGUACUGCUUCUUUGUGAUUUGCCUUUCAGAUGUUACAAUGUUGUAGGUUGGCACCCUGGUUUUCUACAUAGAACUAGACCAGCGACUCAGGUCAGAAGAAACAGUUCAAAUAAAAUAGAUCUUUAUGCAAUUUAAAAGAUCUCUCUGGCUUCCAUACAUGUCCCUCAAUGCCAUGCUUCAUUUUUUUGAGGUGUUUUUGAAGUUGCAGGCUUUCUUGUUCACUGAUAAUAACACAGAUAGAAAGAGGUAAAACGAGUGCAAAAUUGUGAGAUAGCAGUAUUGCAGGAACCCAACAGCUUAUUCUAUGCUUUUGUCUCCUGUUCUGCCCCUCACCUCUGCAAAAUAAGAUUAAAAAAACCCAAACCACCAUAAACAGAGCACCUCUCUUCCCCUUAUUCCUCCACUUCUCUAACAUCCUCAGUUCAAAAGAAGAAGAUACCCCAUUGAUGUAGUUUUGGGAAAGCUAUCCUAAAGCCGUGCACUUUCUCCUACUUGGCACAGCUCAGCAGGGGAGGUUGUUCUCAGUUUCGAGCAGCAGUGAUGUGGAUGGGAGGAGACUGAUUAUAGCCAGGGAUGAGAAGCAUGCAUUUACAUAGUCUCCUUUUCCCUGCCACCUCUCCACUCUCCAGCAAGCAUGGGUUUAUUUUAGCAUUGGCCUUCUGAAGCAGGAUUAAUUUUCCCCUGAAUAGGUCAGGCUGGAGCAGAGCCAGGAAACAUGGCCUUUCAUAGCUGGGGUGACUCAGGAAGGCAGAGAUACCUACUAAGUAGACAGGGCCUAUAACUUCUGUGCCAAUGCCCAGUGCAAGAGAAGUAUCCUGGAAUAACCUUUCUGAUAAACAGCAGAAAAGUCCGUGUGGAGUCUUUUUCCAGAAGCUGAUUCCAGGCUGAACCAGGCUGUAGUGCUGCCCUCUGCUGUUUGGAUUCGGGAAAAAAUGACUGAAUGGCUUCCUUUUGCUGUGUCUACAUUUCACUUCAGAAAUCUGCUGUAACAUCUCCAUCUGUUUGAACUUCAGAGCUGGGAAAUGGCAACUCUUGUACCCCCCCGAUACCAAACACUACAGUUCUUUGGAUCAGGAAUCUGCCUCUGAAAGAAGAAUGACCUUUUAAAAACAUGCUGUUGCGUAGGUACCCAGUAGUAGUGUCUUUAUAGAUGAUUAAAAGACACUUCAGUAACUGACUGAAACAGCUGCUGAAUUUCUCUUAACUUACUCUGUCUCUUGGAUGUAAGAUAUGAGAGGUUUGGUGUGGAGAUUACUGAUGAAGAGUUUGAGCUGCUACUUGACAGAAUCUGCCUUGAUGAAGAUGGAAAUGUCAAAUACCCCCAGUUCAUGCUCAGCCCCUUCUCCAAUAUGACAUGAUGAAGACUGGUUUUCAGAAGAGGGUCUAUAUAUGGCCAAGAGGAGGGAAAUACCACGUGCAAAGCAGAAGUGGAUAAACCUACCUGUCUGAUUCUAACAUGUGUCUCAUUGGGCACUUUUUUGAUCACUAGCAUAGCUACUGCUGCUUGUCCUGAAGAAAAAUAAUCUGUUAUGAUCUUUCCUGACCUAAUAUCUACAGUCCAUUUCUGGAGUUAGUAAAAAAUCUUCCUUACCAGCCAGCCUUCAAGUGUAUCUCUGCAGAAGGACAUAAACACCAGCAGGACGCCCUUAUCACAUAGUACUAACUGAUGUGGCUCUGUCAUUUUCGAUGUGUGACUUCUUGCUUCCAACCCCCAUGCUGAGAUCUCGUGUUCCUUUUUUUCCCCAGGGUCAUGUUGUACACAGAGUCCCCACUGUGGCUUUGCUCUGCUGGGUCAAGAGAAACAUGAGAUGACAAUUUACCCUUUCCUAUAAAUGGUUAAAUGUAGAGAAGAUAAAAAUGAGAGGUAUUUGUGGAUUUCAUCUUCAAGGCAGAAUUUAUAAUCAGGGAAAAAUGUAAAGACAGACCCUCUCCAGGAUUUUGAUGUCCUGUACCUUUAAGAGAGGAGUAGCAGGGUGGCAUCUUACAGGCUCUGUAACUGUCCCAGACUUUAUCUGCUUUCUUCUGAAUAGCAAAUAUGUGAUUCAAAGAGUGAAAAAUACUACUCUAUUUUUCCAGUAGCAGCACUGGAAAAAUGUCAUGAACAUAUAAGAUGCAGCAUCCAUGUAGAUUGUUGGUGUUUUCUGCAACUUUUUGUAAGUUUGGGGAAAACUUAAUAAGUACUGUUUCUCUUUCUUUCUUUAAAAAAGACAGGGAGAGAAAGCCUGCAUUUUCUGCCAUUUCCCAAGAGGCUUUUUAUCUGUUUAAACCAACUAGGGAUUUUUCACAUAUUGACAUAAGCAUUCAUUUGCUAAUUUGCUGGACAUUAAACUGCACAGCAUUCUUGAAUGAGACUGGAAUACUUGGGUACUUAGUGCUGCUCAGACCCCGCAUCAUUCUCAGUACACAUAUGGUUUUCCUCCUCUAUCUCCUAGAUAAAAGUCACUGUUUGAUCGCCUUAAGGAAAAGAAUGAGUUAAAUGGACCAAUAUUCUAGCCUUGGCUCUAAAACUGGGCCUUUUCAGAAACUCCUCAGCACCUGCAGCAGCUAGGUCAUUUGCACAUACAUAAAUAAAUAAAUUAACAAUGAAUAAAUAAUUUAAUCCCACCACACAAUGCCACCUUGCAGAUCUGAUCCUUUGCUCCCAGUGAAUUUGUCCAUUCCUAAUUCUUUUUGAUAAAGUCCUCAGAUACUUGCUGACUGUCAGUCUAAUUUUCUUAUUGUUUUCGCUUGAUUAGUUCUGUAUGACCUAAGGUCGCCCUUAAAAUCCACAUCUCUCGUGAAGACUCCGAAAGGCCUUCUUUUUUUCAAAGGGAUGGAAAGUGCCUGCCAUUUCUCCGGACAAAAGCCUGGAAGGUUUUCAGUUAUUAGCCUCCUGAAGCAGCCCUUUCGCUCACCCAAGCGCAAAAAAAACUCAUUAGGGGGCACCUUUCUUUCUGGCUUCUUUAUCUGACGCAUGUAGGGCUUACAUGUUUCGAGAUUUGCAGGUCUUGGAUGAAUUUGGAUAGCCUCGCUUUUAACCCUGCUGGACUGUGGUUAUGCCCACCACAGACAUUUGCCUCAGCCCCUCUGUGCCCUUAACCACCUGGAGGUGCUUCGUCUUUCUGAAAGCAGCUUAGCACCCGCUUUGUGGUGCUGUGGCACAGGGAGGGCAUGCUCGUGCAGGGCAGGCAUGCCUGCCAACAUAUCUGGGCGUCUUGCCCUUCAGAGGCCAUGUGCAAAGCUGCCAGCUCCUGCAUUUGCUUGGGCUGCCAGAGGUUAUAAAUCAGAACAGCAUCUGAUCUGCCAUGCUUAAGCAGUGCUGCCCAGCAACACCACACCUGUGGUUACCUAUUAAGAAUUAAAAUCACUGGAAAUCGUACUGGCAGGUGUUACAGUGAUGAGUGUUGCUCACUUGCCUAGGCUCUGGUAUUUUGUUAAGGAGAGACCUCAUGACUGAAGAGUUAGGAGCAAACUGAUCGUUUCUCUUUCAUAAAAGGGCUGCCUACUGUCUUUGGUGAGAGACCUCAGUUCAGGCUGGAAUCUGAGUCUAGAGAGAAGAAUGAUUUACAGAAAUAGAAGGAAAAUAAGCAGAUCCAAAAAAAUGUGAAAGCCAGGAAGAUAAGCCAGCGCAGAUAUAGACGAACAGGUGUCUUGCUCCUGCAAUGUUACUUCUUUUGGUCCUGAAGAACAGCUUGUCUUCCACUGGGUUAAAACUGACUGAUCCCUCUGAGUUAAAAUUCAGCAGAAAAGCUCAGGGCUCCAGCUUAGGUCCUACCUCCAAGCAUGCAGGGUGGCAAUUUUGUAGCUAUUAAUCUUUGUCCUGGCCAUUUUCUGAGACAGAAUCCUUGUUAGGUUGGAAGAAUGUACCAUUAUGACCACUAUUUUUUCCCAGACCUGCCAGUUCCUAUGAUGCCUCUGCGGUAUCAACACUUUACCUCAAUUUAGUUUUCCUCUGCAAUCUGUUUCCUCUGAAAUCUGAAUGAGGCAGCACUCAGUAAAAUAAAGGAAGUCAUGUGCAUGAGGCUGAGCUUAUAAGCAAAUCCUUGCAGGGGGUCAACACUACAUUAUCAGCAAGGCAUAAUAUGCAUUAUUUUUUCCACUGGCAUAAAUUUAGUGAUUAGUUGGAUAUAGUGUCAAAUAGCAUGGAAACUAUAUGAUCUACUCCAUAGUACAAAGUAAUAGUUACAUUAUGGUCUGAAGAAUGGCAGAGAAUAAUUUGGGAUCUUGACUUGGGGUCCUCUGUUAGUAAGAUCCUGCUUGCUCUUUCUUAUCUGUCAACUGGUUAAUCUCAUCUCCUAGAAAACUUCAGGAUGAUAGUGGGUCCUGGAAGACAUCGUUGGGACCAUAUAGAAAUUUUGAUAUUGUGAUAUAUUGAAUAUGUAGUGGCCUCUGAAGGCACCAGAGGGCAACCCACCAGGAGAAAUUGUAUCAGCAUAAUAAUAGGGAGAGUCUUUUUUAUAGUCUUUUUGCAUUGGUUUCUUUUUCUGUCUCAAGCUAUGAGGAGCAUUUUAAGCUUACAGAAGAAACACUAUGCAGUGAUAAAGAAGGAGAUUGGAGAUUAAGAUGAAGUUAACUCUAAGUGUCUCCCUCAGGACACCAUGUAUCUUACACUGAAGUACUAAGCUAAUGCAGCCUUGGAAAACAUGGUGACAAUAAGGCUGAACCAUGAUGAGUGGUGACAUCCCUGGAGGUCCAUUAUUAUCCCUCAUUCAUGGGAUCUGAGCAAGCAUCAUUUAGCAGUCUGGUGUCUAUUAGCAUGUUAACUAUGAUCCUUAGAAAAACUUAGGAAGUCAUCAAUGACUUUGCUGGGAGUUUGAUGGCUAAGUACACAGUUAUUUGGCUAAUAAUUAGAAUAACUUCCUGUUUUUCUUCACAAUGGUCAUUAUCUAUUGUUGGGGCUGUCCUGUGCAGGGCCAGGACAUGGACAUUGAUGAUUCUUGUAUGUCCCUUCCAAUAAAGAACAUUUUAUGAGUCUAUAAUUUAGUGUCCUAAGAUUCUGUUUAAAGUCCGAUUAUAAUCAUGACACAUUCUUUUAGGGUCUGGUUUGACAACCAGUCUGAAAUAGCUAUGGAAAUCCAGUUACAGGGACAACACAUUGUGUUUUCAGGAGUUUGUGAGACAUUUGGCUACUCCUUGAGAUCGUCAUAUUUUCCCAGUGCCAGGCAUUGUCCACUCUGAAAAGGAGCUAAUAAUUUAAGAUUAUGAAGAAGCUCAGAUAUGAUUCUGACAUGCUGGUAGUCAGAUGUGGGCAAAUAUAAUUUCUUUUAAUAGGGAAAAAGGUGGUGUUGUGAGACUAUGUUCUAACAUGGUUCCAAAAAUGGAAAGAAACUGGAUGAGUAAGGGGUUCGGCACCAAAAUAGCAUGUUGUGUAAGCAUAAUCUUUUUUUAAAAGAUGCACAAAGUACAAGCUUCAGCAUCAAAACUGGUUGCUGAAGAAUUCUAAAAAAUACAAAAUUCUCUUUUUAGAAAUAGGUUUAAAGAUUGGCUGUGCUAUGAUGUAGCAAUUUGUAAUGAAAUGCCUGUUCCUAAGUACACUUAGAGAACACAGCAUUAUUCACUUCAUUCAUGUUGGCAGCCAGAGCUGGUAAAAUUUCAGUGACUGUAAUGAAGGAAAGGAAAAGAGAAGAGAAGAGAAAAUAAUUGAUUUCUAUUUAAAGCAGUGGAAAGCAAAAUUCUCCCCUAGUAUGCAUAUGGUUAAUACCAAUUUUCUUAUUUUACAUCUAGAUGCUUUAUACAUAGAGUCUUUAAAGCCCUUUGCUUCAUGGUGGCAUAGGUGGCAGGGGAAUAACAUGGCUGUAAUUAUGCAGACAUUUCGGAGCUAAACUAGUGCUGUGGAGGGGCUCAAGCUUCUGAGCUUGACAUCUUGACAAUCAGAUUAUGGAGAAAGGACACUGGCCUUCAGUGGAUGGCUAACAGUUUUGUCUGAAACAGUCCUUGCUGUAGGGAAAUGGUAAAUAAUCCAUUCUUCCCCGCAUAAAAUUCUUUCCACCUGGUCUGUAGUACAUGCAAUUACUGUGUUAAAAGUAUUUGUCAAUGGCACAGCUGUUUCAGUUCAGUGGCUGCACUUGUUGCACCUUCUGACUGUGUAAGAGGCACACAAAAACACAGGAUUUAUUUUUUUUUUUAAAUUAAAUGCAAUAUUUUAGCAUGGAGAUGUCUAGCUCCUUUAAAAUAUCUGAGCAGAUAAAUUAGGCUACUUGCCAGGCAACAAUGAGGGUGGGACUCAGCUGCCCUGAUUUUUUCCCCUGCUUGUAUAUCUGAAUCUGACCUGUUGAUCCCACAUUCUGCCAAAAUUCAAAGGGGAAAGAUAUAUAUUCCAAGGAAAAUAUAUUUAUUUUUUAAGGGAGAAAAUAAAUUCAGUCUUAUAAAUUUUCCUCAGGAGCUGUCUGUUUAUCCCUCUUAACUAGAAAGAUUGCUUAGAAUGAUUAAUUAAUUCUCAGACCUUUUCCUUUGAGACAGCUAACAGUUUCAUGUCAGGUCGUCAUAAAUUUCAGUAUGUUCUUCUGUUAUCACACCGCUGAAAAGAUUUUUCCUUUGUGGUAUGGUCUUGUUAUAUAACAAAGUGAUUUUUCCAAGUACGUGAAUGACAAAGUCCAGUUGGUCCCAUCCCAUCCUUCUAUUCUUGUCAAUGCUCAAAGGCAUUCUGUGCCCUACCAAAUUGUUGUCAUUUUCCUGAAAUGUAGAAAUCUUUGGGGUUUUUCUGUUUGCAGUUACAAUGCCUGGAAAACUUUUUGAAAGGCCUUUAGGAAGCUGGAUGCUGGCAACAGGAGUUACCGCUCUGUUCCAGAACUCUAGUCUCAAAAUCCCUGUAACUUCCUGCUAAAACAGGAAGAAGUUUAGCAUUCUCUCUCUAUUUAUCUUAAUCUGAAAGGCAAUUUGAUUAUAAAUCUUCUUUGGAAGAGCUUUGCAAAAAAGCUGGCCAAAUACAGCCCCAAAACUCCUUUGCAAAACUGUGAUAAAUUAACAUAGGAUAUUGCCAUGACUAGCAGAACAGCACUUGUGUUCUCCCAGUUUCCUGGGAUACACCUCCUUUGCCUACUUAUUGCUUGCCAUAUCCAAUAGUGUAAAUUGCUUUGUGAAGGGGUGGUAGAAGCUCUUCCUGGGAGUAUAAAGCAAAGCUGACUGUAACACAGUUGCUAACUGUAUGUAGCAUACAACAAACUACAAAAAUCAAGGAAAAUUCUGCCCUGCUCUGGUGAGACACCACCUGGAGUGCUACAUCCAGUUCUGGGGUCCUUAGCACAGGAAGGAGAUGAACCUGUUGCAGCAAGUCCAGAGGUGGGACACCAAAUUAGUUAGGGAAAUGGAGCAUCUUUCCUAUGGGGAAAGGCUGAGAAUUGGGAUUUUUCAGCUUGGGAAAGAGAAGGCUUUGGGAUGACCUAAUUGUGGCCUUCUAAUACCUGAAGGGAGCUUAAAAAAAGAUGGAGAGAGACUAUUUACAAUGGCAUGUGGUGACAGGACAAGAGGGAAUGGCUUCAAACUGAGAGUGGGUUUAGACUGGAUAUUUGGAAGAAACUCUUUACUGAGAGGGUGGUAAGGCACCGAAACAGGUUUCCCAGAGAAGUUGUGGAUACCCCAUUCCUGGAGGCCUUCCACACCAGGCUGGCUGGAGGUCUGAGAAGCCUGGUCUUCUAGUGGAAGGUGUCCCUGCUCAUGACAGGGAGCUUGGAACUAGAUGAUCUUUAAGGUCCCUUCCAACUCAAAUCAUUCUAUGAUUCUAUAUUAAUUUCCUGGAAAGACGAUGCAAAGCUGCAUGGAGAGUUGCAAAUAGCUUUGGAGAAGAUGUAAUAUUUGGUGAAGAACAGCAUGCCAUGUUGCUGCUCGGAAUCUCCUCACCAUGGAAAGAUCAUUUGACCUCACAGAGUUGGAUUAGCUCCUCCAUAUGCACAAAGAUGGAGGAUGGCCUUUUCUCUAAGUAUAGAUUUUUGUGCCUAGUUGCAGCAUUUUUUCUUGGAGGAAUAUUUUAUGCCCUGAGUACUAGAGGCAGAAGGACCUGUUCUGUACAUGACUUCACUUUCAUGAUCAGCUUAAUUGUGUGUUUAAGACAAGAUUAGGUUAUUUUCUUCCCAUAUACCUUUAUAAACAUGUGACUGCAUGGUUGAAUUAAUAAAAUGAGCAUGAGGAACCACUGAAAUACGUAUCGCUAACCUAUUUGGCAAGCUCUCCGAUGAUGUGACUCCACCAUGCCUU